CCUACGGGAGGCAGCAGUGGGGAAUAUUGCACAAUGGGGGAAACCCUGAUGCAGCGACGCCGCGUGAGUGAAGAAGUAAUUCGUUAUGUAAAGCUCUAUCAGCAGGGAAGAAAAUGACGGUACCUGUGUAAGAAGCCCCGGCUAACUACGUGCCAGCAGCCGCGGUAAUACGUAGGGGGCAAGCGUUAUACGGAUUUACUGGGUGUAAAGGGAGAGUAGACGGCUGUGCAAGUCUGGAGUGAAAGGCGUGGGCCCAACCCCCGGACUGCUCUGGAAACUGUACGGCGGGAGUGCAGGAGGGGUAAGUGGAAAUCCUAGUGUAGCGGUGAAAUGCGUAGAGAUUAGGAGGAAUACCAGUGGCGAAGGCGGCCUACUGGACUGUAACUGACGUUGAGGCUCGAAAGCGUGGGGAGCAAACAGGAUUAGAUACCCGGGUAGUC
rnacentral:rRNA from 1 species